GAUGAAGAACGUAGCAAAAUGCGAUAAGUAAUGUGAAUUGCAGAAUUCAGUGAAUCAUCGAAUCUUUGAACGCACAUUGCGCCCGCCAGUAUUCUGGCGGGCAUGCCUGUUCGAGCGUCAUUUCAACCCUCAAGCACAGCUUGGUGUUGGGACUCGCGUUAAUUCGCGUUCCCCAAAUUUAUUGGCGGUCACGUCGAGCUUCCAUAGCGUAGUAGUAAAACCCUCGUUACUGGUAAUCGUCGCGGCCACGCCGUUAAACCCCAACUUCUGAAUGUUGACCUCGGAUCAGGUAGGAAUACCCGCUGAACUUAAGCAUAUCAAUAAGCGGAGGA
rnacentral:misc_RNA from 1 species